rnacentral:rRNA from 1 species
CCUACGGGGGGCAGCAGUGGGGAAUAUUGCACAAUGGGGGGAACCCUGAUGCAGCGACGCCGCGUGAGUGAAGAAGUAUUUCGGUAUGUAAAGCUCUAUCAGUAGGGAAGAAGAUGACGGUACCUGACUAAGAAGCCCCGGCUAACUACGUGCCAGCAGCCGCGGUAAUACGUAGGGGGCAAGCGUUAUCCGGAUUUACUGGGGGUAAAGGGAGCGUAGACGGUGCAGCAAGUCUGAUGUGAAAGGGCGGGGCCCA